UACGUAGGGGGCUAGCGUUGUCCGGAAUCAUUGGGCGUAAAGAGCGUGUAGGCGGUCCGGUAAGUCCGCUGUGAAAGCCGGGGGCUCAACCCUCGAAUGCCGGUGGAUACUGUCGGGCUAGAGUGCGGAAGAGGCGAGUGGAAUUCCUGGUGUAGCGGUGAAAUGCGCAGAUAUCAGGAGGAACACCGAUUGCGAAGGCAGCUCGCUGGGACGUAACUGACGCUGAGGCGCGAAAGCGUGGGGAGCAAACAGG
rnacentral:rRNA from 1 species